rnacentral:rRNA from 1 species
GAGCUGGCAUCAGGCACACACUAAAGGUGGCCCAAAACGCCUUGCUUAGCCACACCCCAAGGGAAUUCAGCAGUGAUAAAUAUUAAGCCAUGAGCGAAAGCUUGACUUAAUUAAGGCUAAACAGAGCCGGUAAAACUCGUGCCAGCCACCGCGGUUAUACGAGGGGCUCAAAUUGAUAUCCUUCGGCGUAAAGUGUGAUUACAGAACAAUAAAAACUAAAGCUAAACACCUCCUGAGCUGUCAUACGCUAACGGAGACAGAAACCCCACAACGAAAGUAGCUUUAACAACUCUUGAACUCACGACCAUUAAGAAACAAACUGGGAUUAGAUACCCCACUAUGCUUAAUCGUAAACAACGAUGAUAAUAUACAAAUACCAUCCGCCAGGGGACUACGAGCACUACCUUAAAACCCAAAGGACUUGGCGGUGCCUCAAACCCACCUAGAGGAGCCUGUUCUAUAACCGAUAAUCCCCGUUAAACCUCACCACUCCUUGUUAAUCCAGCCUAUAUACCGCCGUCGCCAGCUUACCUCAUGAGAGACUAACAGUAAGCCAAAUGGGUUAUACCCAACACGUCAGGUCGAGGUGUAGCGAAUGGAGUGGAAAGAAAUGGGCUACAUUUUCUGACUCAGAAUAUACGAAAAGUGCCAUGAAAAAGCACACCUGAAG